GCUUAAAUAUAAGCUGUUUUUAAUAGAAGACGUUAUAAUAGGAUUCAAACCAACUAGAAGCAUUUAAAAAUCUAGUAAAGGAGAAAGAAAAUUGUUAUAUAGAAGAGAAGUACUGAGAAGGAAGACACAAGUCAGGAAAUAAAAAAAAUAAAAUUUUGUACCUUUUGCAUCAUGGUUUAGCUAGAUUUAGUCUUGAUAUGGAGAUUCUCGAAACCUAAUGGGCUAUUUUUGGCCAGCGUUCAUAGGUGCUUAAAAAGUAAUUGUGGCAAAAAUUUUUUAAGAGCUAAAAAUAGAAAUGAAAUUUUAUCCGUAUUAGGUGAUAGCUAGUUCUUUUCUAAAGGUAUAUAAGUACCGUGAAUUUAUUUAUAUUAUAAAAAUAUGUCUUUAUGGUAUUGAAAAUUCAAUGAGAUUUCUGAGGAUAAGCUCAGAAAUAUGAAUUAAUUUUGUAUUCUUUUGUAAUUUGAUUAAAUUUAGGCUUGAAAAUGGCCAUAAUAUGUGAAUUUGUUAUAAUUUCAUUGUUUUCUGCCACAUAAAAUAAAUCUACUUAUAAAAAGAAAAGGAAUCUUUAAAAUCUAAAUUAGAGUUGAGCGUAUGCUAAAAUGAGUAUUAAUCAAAAUCUAUUUUACUACAAUAAAAAAAUAAACUAUAAAAAACAUAUAAUUCACAAAUUGUUAAAAGGAACUCGGCAAAGCUUAUUCCGCCUGUUUAUCAAAAACAUGGCUCCUUGUUUCUUCUUAUUGGGAGUCGGACCUGCUCGGUGAAUUAUUUUAACAGCCGCGGUACUCUGACCGUGCAAAGGUAGCAUAAUCAUUUGCCUUAUAAUUGAAGGCUAGUAUGAAUGGUUUGACGAGAAUUAAGCUGUCUCUUUUCAACUAAAUAUAACUUUAUUAAUAGGUGAAGAAGCCUAUAUUAAAUUGAAAGACAAGAAGACCCUAUCGAGCUUUAAAUAAUUUAAUAGACUAAUAAUAUAUUAAUAAAAAAAUUAAACUAUAAAGAAUUUUGGUUGGGGCGACCAAGGAACAAAUAAAGCUUCCUUUAACUUAGUUAAAUACAAACAAGUAUUGAUCCAGCUAAACUGAUUAGAGAAAUUAGUUACCGUAGGGAUAACAGCAUAAUCCUCUUUGAGAGUCCUCAUCGAAAAGGGGGUUUGUGACCUCGAUGUUGGACCAGAAUACCCAGAAGAUGCAGCCGUCUUCAAUGGUUGGUCUGUUCGACCAUUAAAAUUCUACGUGAUCUGAGUUCAGACCGGCGUGAGCCAGGUCAGUUUCUAUCUUCAAUUUCUAAACUAGCUUUAGUACGAAAGGACCAGGCUAUUAUAAUAUUUUUGUUGCGAAUUGAUUAAAUAUAAAUAUUUAUUGAACCAUUAGUAAGAAUCAAAUUAGCAAAGAUUAAUGCAAU
rnacentral:rRNA from 1 species